GACAGAGGAUGCAAGCGUUAUCCGGAAUGAUUGGGCGUAAAGCGUCUGUAGGUGGCUUUUUAAGUCCGCCGUCAAAUCCCAGGGCUCAACCCUGGACAGGCGGUGGAAACUACCAAGCUGGAGUACGGUAGGGGCAGGAGGGAAUUCCCAGUGUAGAGGUGAAAUUCGUAGAUAUUGGGAAGAACACCGGUGGCGAAGGCGGCUCUCUGGACCGAUACUGACGCUGAGGCGCGAAAGCGUGGGGAGCAAACAGG
rnacentral:rRNA from 1 species